rnacentral:rRNA from 1 species
AGCGAACGCUGGCGGCAGGCUUAACACAUGCAAGUCGAGCGGGCACUUUCGGGUGUCAGCGGCGGACGGGUGAGUAACGCGUGGGAACGUGCCCUCUGGUUCGGAAUAACUCAGGGAAACUUGAGCUAAUACCGGAUACGCCCUUUUGGGGAAAGGCUUGCUGCCGGAGGAUCGGCCCGCGUCUGAUUAGCUAGUUGGUGCGGUAACGGCUCACCAAGGCGACGAUCAGUAGCUGGUCUGAGAGGAUGAGCAGCCACACUGGGACUGAGACACGGCCCAGACUCCUACGGGAGGCAGCAGUGGGGAAUAUUGGACAAUGGGCGCAAGCCUGAUCCAGCCAGGCCGCGUGAGUGAUGAAGGCCUUAGGGUUGUAAAGCUCUUUUAUCCGGGACGAUAAUGACGGUACCGGAGGAAUAAGCCCCGGCUAACUUCGUG